GUACGGAGGGGGCUAGUGUUGUUCGGAAUUACUGGGCGUAAAGGGCGCGCAGGCGGCUUGGCAAGUCGAGUGUGAAAUCCCUUGGCUUUAACUAAGGAAAUGGCGCUCGAAACUACCUCGCUAGAGGACGGGAGAGGGAAGUGGAACUCUCGGUGUAGGGGUGAAAUCUGUAGAUAUCGAGAGGAACACCGGUGGCGAAGGCGGGUCUCUGGGCCGAUACUGACGCUGAGGAGCGAAAGCGUGGGGAGCGAACAGG
rnacentral:rRNA from 1 species